AUGUGUGAUGUAGAGCGCAUGUUCCACCAGUUUCAUGUGAAAGCAGAAGACCAAGAUCAUCUGCGGUUCCUUUGGUGGGAGAACGGCGAUCUAGAGUCUCAACCCUCAGUGUAUCGUAUGAAGGUCCACUUGUUCGGUGCAGCUUCAUCUCCUGGUUGCGCCAACUAUGGUCUCAAACAUCUCGCUGCUGAAGGACGAGGAAGCUUCAGCGAGAAGUCUAUCCAGUUCAUAGAAAGGAACUUUUAUGUUGAUGAUGGGUUGACGAGCGUAUCGUCUGAAGCUGAAGCGGCCCAGCUGGUGAAAGAAGCAAGAGAGCUUUGCAGCAUCGGCAAACUUCGGUUGCACAAGUUUAUCUCUAACAGCAAGGAAGUUAUAGCCACAAUUCCCAAGGAAGAAUGUGCUGAGGGUGCCAAAGACCUGGAUAUGGCUCUGGGUGAACCACACAUGGAGAGGGCGCUUGGUGUACUAUGGUGUGUCGCAUCAGACAAGUUCCAGUUUAGGGUAGUUGUUAAGGAACGCCCACUCACAAGAAGAGGAGUGUUGUCUACAGUAGCCUCUGUAUAUGAUCCGCUUGGGUUUGUGGCACCCUUUGUCCUGGCAGGGAAGCAGAUCUUGCAGCAGAUGUGUCGUGACAAGAUCGACUGGGAUGAGCCCAUUCCAGAUGACCUACGUUUCCAGUGGGAAUUCUGGCUCCAAGGUCUACAAAAGUUGUCGGAAGUAAGGAUCCAACAAGGCUACUUGCCAUCAAGUUUCAAGGAAGUGCAGAGUUAUGAGCUCCAUCACUUCUCCGACGCUAGUACCUCAGGUUAUGGAGAGUGCUCAUACCUCAGAACAAUCAGCACAGCAGGAGAAGUUCAUUGCUCCCUAGUUAUGGGGAGGUCGAGAGUCGCCCCUUCCAAUAUUACGACCAUACUACGACUGGAACUUUCAGCAGCGGUGGUAGCUGCUUUCUUUGGCAAGAAGAACUUCCCAAAGGACAAGUCAAGGGGGGAGAGUUCUCAGACAAUGACCCAGAGCUGCAGAAAUCCCUGGUCCAUGAUACCCAGGCAAAGGAAGAAAGAUCGUUACUAG
rnacentral:lncRNA from 8 species